AUUCCUCUGGGUGGAAAAGGAGCAGAGCGGAGCCAUGAGAAUCCAUGUUUCACCAAACCAGAAUUGGAAAAGUGACCUUGUAACUACUUAGACAAGCAAGCAUCUUCCUGAGAUAUAUUUGCAUACAGCUGUUACCAGUGAUAAACACCAGCCCAGGAUGGGUCUUGGAUGGAGUUGGGCAGAUGGAUGUGUCAGGAAGACGUGAGCACCGAGCACGACCCCUUCAAAUUCCAUUUCAUGACUCACUUCAUGUUUGAAGCUGAAUUUGCAUGAAAAUUAAAUUCAUAAAUUCAGCCACAGCUUUG